AGCUGCGAUAACUAGACGCUCAGC
rnacentral:siRNA from 1 species